GACGAACGUUGGCGGCGUGCUUAAUACAUGCAAGUCAACUGAAGCAGUGGUAGCAAUAUCGCUGUGGAGGUGGCGCACGGGUGAGUACCACGGAGGUAAUCUGCCUUCAGGUCUGGCAUAACUCCUGGAAACCGGGGCUCAUAGCAGAUGAUGCAGCGGCUCUACAUCGAGACCGCUGUUAAAGCUAUGGCGCCUGAAGAUUAGCCUGCGCCUGAUUAGCUAGUUGGCGGGUUAACAGCCCACCAAGGCAACGAUCAGUAGCUGCGAUGAGCGGAGGAUCAGCAACGCUGGAACAGAGACUCGGUCGAGGCGCAUACGGGAGGGAGCAGUAAGGAAUAUUGCUCAAUGGGAGAAAGCCUGAAGCAGCAACGCCGCGUGAGGGUCGAAGGGCUUUUGAUUGUACACCUAUGUAGUGAGAGAAAAGAAGCCCAAUCUUUGGGACAUGAUGGUAGCUCAAAAGUAAGCCCCGGCUAACUACGUG
rnacentral:rRNA from 1 species